UGGUGACAAUGGCAAGGAGGUCACACCUGUUCCCAUGCCGAACACAGAAGUUAAGCUCCAGCUCCUUAGCGCCGAUGGUAGUCGGACUGACGUUCCGCUAGAUUAGGACGUUGCCAGGCA
rnacentral:rRNA from 1 species